AAAUCUCCCUUCGAAGGGAGACAGAUCGAGUGCUUGCACGAGAUCAGAGGGAUGUU
rnacentral:sRNA from 1 species